UACGUAGGGUGCAAGCGUUAUUCGGAAUCACUGGGCGUAAAGGGCGCGCAGGCGGUUUUGUAAGUCUAAAGUGAAAUCCUUGGGCUUUAACCAAGGGCUGCUUUAGUUACUGCAAAACUCGAGUUCGGGAAAAGCAAGCGGAACUCCUGGUGAAGGGGUGAAAUACGUAGAUAUCAGGAAGAACACCAGUGGCGAAAGCGGCUUGCUUGAAAGCAACUGACGCUUAGGCGCGAAAGCGUGGGGAGCAAUCAGG
rnacentral:rRNA from 1 species